GAUGAACGCUGGCGGCAUGCCUAACACAUGCAAGUCGAGCGAGCGGCGGGCGGGUGAGUAAUGUCUGGGAAACCGCCCGAUUGCGGGGGAUAAUUACGGGAAAAGGCUGCUAAUACCGCAUACCAUCAGAUGUCGUCAGUUGGGAUUAGCUAGUGGGUGGGGUAACGGCUCACCUAGGCGACGAUCCCUAGCCGGCCUGAGAGGAUGAACGGCCACACUGGGACUGAGACACGGCCCAGACUCCUACGGGAGGCAGCAGUGGGGAAUCUUGCGCAAUGGGCGCAAGCCUGAUGGAGCCAUGCCGCGUGUGUGAAGAAGGUCUUCGGGUUGUAAAGCACUGUUGUCGGGGAGGCGUUACCCGAAGAAGAAGCAACGGCUAACUACGUGCCAGCAGCCGCGGUAAUAC
rnacentral:rRNA from 1 species